ACAAUUCCACAGGAAUACCUCGAAUCGAGCUCGACGAUGAAUGCUUUAACCUACAUACGCACGGAUACUACUGACCUAUAUAAGUCGACAAACUAACCUAUAUAAUAUCUUGGAAAAGACCUGCUUUAAAUACCAAGACACAUUUGGAAACCAUUGAAAAAUUUCAAAUAGAAGUAAAAAAUUAUAAAAGCGAAAGAACGCGUUUCGCAAUGCCGAACGUAAAAGACAGUCACUGUGGGUCGUGGUUAA